rnacentral:rRNA from 1 species
GAUGAACGCUGGCGGCGUGCCUAAUACAUGCAAGUCGAGCGAACGGACGAGAAGCUUGCUUCUCUGAUGUUAGCGGCGGACGGGUGAGUAACACGUGGAUAACCUUCCUAUAAGACUGGGAUAACUUCGGGAAACCGGAGCUAAUACCGGAUAAUAUUUUGAACCGCAUGGUUCAAAAGUGAAAGACGGUCUUGCUGUCACUUAUAGAUGGAUCCGCGCUGCAUUAGCUAGUUGGUAAGGUAACGGCUUACCAAGGCAACGAUGCAUAGCCGACCUGAGAGGGUGAUCGGCCACACUGGAACUGAGACACGGUCCAGACUCCUACGGGAGGCAGCAGUAGGGAAUCUUCCGCAAAGGGCGAAAGCCUGACGGAGCAACGCCGCGUGAGUGAUGAAGGUCUUCGGAUCGUAAAACUCUGUUAUUAGGGAAGAACAUAUGUGUAAGUAACUGUGCACAUCUUGACGGUACCUAAUCAGAAAGCCACGGCUAACUACGUG